rnacentral:lncRNA from 1 species
CAAGUAGAGAGGUGUCCCUUAUGGGAAUUAGACAGAUAGGUUCUUAAGCUCUGAACUCAUAGCCUUUUAUCCAUCUGGAGUCCUCCUUAUGUGUGGAAUGUGCCCAUCCCUAAUCCUAUCUCCGAUCCUACCUUUAUGCUCAUAGCAGGACAAUAUCUGGCAGGUGCAGAAGUUGGUUUUGGCCCCACCAGUUCAUUAGUCUGCUCUUGUCCACUUUUGUCUCCACGAUGAAGGUAAAGAUAGGAAGAUGUGAAAAGGAAGGUCUUGCCACACACAGGGUCCUUAUUUGGUGCUUCCAGAGUUAUACUGUACUACAGAUAAUGAAAGCAUCAUCCUAAAAUGGAAUGUCAGAAGUAAAUGAUACCUACUGAAUUGGCAUCAAAAUCGGCCCUUGCAAAUAGAGCUUGAUUCUUUCCUGCAACUAUGAUUCAUUUUGAGCUAAUGUUUCAGCUUCUCCAUCCUUAAAAGACUAAUAUGCUUUGUCUUUAAUUAAAGUCU